rnacentral:rRNA from 1 species
AUUGAACGCUGGCGGAAUGCUUUACACAUGCAAGUCGAACGGCAGCACGGACUUCGGUCUGGUGGCGAGUGGCGAACGGGUGAGUAAUGUAUCGGAACGUGCCCAGUCGUGGGGGAUAACGUAGUGAAAAUUACGCUAAUACCGCAUACGAUCUAUGGAUGAAAGCGGGGGAUCGCAAGACCUCGAGCGAUUGGAGCGGCCGAUAUCAGAUUAGGUAGUUGGUGGGGUAAAGGCCCACCAAGCCAACGAUCUGUAGCUGGUAUGAGAGGACGACCAACCACACUGGAACUGAGACACGGGCCAGACUCCUACGGGAGGCAGCAGUGGGGAAUUUUGGACAAUGGGCGAAAGCCUGAUCCAGCCAUUCCGCGUGCAGGAUGAAGGCCCUCGGGUUGUAAACUGCUUUUGUACAGAACGAAAAGGUUUCUACUAAUACUAGGAGCUCAUGACGGUACUGUAAGAAUAAGCACCGGCUAACUACGUGCCAGCCGCCGCGGUAA